UGGAGACUCGUGUCCUAGAGGCUUAUUCCCCAAGUACAGCAGUGUUACUCUACAGAACUGAUUACAUUAGGAGGACCCUAACUUCAUCAGCGGAUGAAUUCACUCAAGAGACUACAAUGCGAUUAUUACAUCACAGAGCCAGGAGGUGGAGCCUCGUUGAGAGGAGUGGGUCACAGAGCGUAAUCUUCAAGACUCUGUUUGGUCCUGGCCCCUCCCCGUGGCUCUUUCCCCAUUUCUCCGCUUUCUGGCUGCGCCCUUCCUCCACCUCAGCCUCCUGCCAUGAUUUUCUGCCUCACCUCAGGCAACGGUGAUGGAACCAGAGUCUUACAUGCCUACUGAAAUACACACAAACUGAAUCAUAUGGUGCCUGAGAUUCACCUGCAAGAAUCAUUCUCGGAAAAGAAGAUCAUUCCCAGGCAGAACAAGGCAGCAGAGGGAUGUGGCACACAGCGAAAUGACCUUUCCCAGUUUCCUGGCACUGGACCAUGUGGCUGAAGCCAGUGCGAUGAACAGAGCUGUGCUCUGGUUGGCCUGGCCCACCGUCCCUCCCACGCACACUGCCUGUGCUUUGUCUCCUGUGGGAUGAUUGCUAAUGAUGACGAUCCAAGAGAAGAGUAAUAGUUCACGAGGCAUGAAAAUCACACGAAACUCAAAUUUGGGAAGUGCGAAUCAAGUUUCAUUGGAACGCAGCUACACGUAUUUGUCUAUGUACCAUCCACAACUGCUUUAGUACUGCUAGGGCAGAGCAGAAAAAUUAUGCAGGAAUACGGCCUUCAAAGCCUUAAAUAUUUAUCCUGUGGCUCUCGACACAUGAACUUGCCAAUGCCUGGUCUAGAGGUUCCAAAAGAAAGAUCAUAUGGUUGAAGUAACCAGACCCUCUGCUACCCAAGCAGGACCCUGGAAGGAACAGAUGUCCCACGUGAUUUCUGUCUUGCUAAGGGUUCAGUACCUUCACUACGUAUCUCAAAAGGUCUUGGAGUUCAGUGUUGUUCCUUAACACAAAGUAGAAACACCGUUCUUUACUGGUUAACUGGAGUAUUCUCAUGGAAUGGGCCACAUAAGCUGCUCUUUGAUUUCUUUUAUUUCCUUAGUGCCCUAAUAUCCAUUAUGUAGGUUUAGAUGAUCGAAACUCACAUUACAACAACUGAGCUUCCCUUAGAAGCCUUGCAUGCUAUAAAACAAACAUUCUACGAGCAGCUACUACAGCUCAACAAGUGACACACUUUUCUUACUAUCGGUUGUGGCCAUUAGUAAGACAUUAUAGUAGACCUUUCCAAUUCCUGUCACAAUUUAAUUCUUAAGAGAGUUCUUGGGUCAAAUAGCUAACCGAAAUGAUGAGAAGAUAGAGACACCAUAAGAAUAAAAUAAUUUU